GAUGAACGCUGGCGGCGUGCCUAAUACAUGCAAGUCGAGCGAACAGACGAGGAGCUUGCUCCUCUGACGUUAGCGGCGGACGGGUGAGUAACACGUGGAUAACCUACCUAUAAGACUGGGAUAACUUCGGGAAACCGGAGCUAAUACCGGAUAAUAUAUUGAACCGCAUGGUUCAAUAGUGAAAGACGGUUUUGCUGUCACUUAUAGAUGGAUCCGCGCCGCAUUAGCUAGUUGGUAAGGUAACGGCUUACCAAGGCAACGAUGCGUAGCCGACCUGAGAGGGUGAACGGCCACACUGGAACUGAGACACGGUACAGACUCCUACGGGAGGCAGCAGUAGGGAAUCUUCCGCAAUGGGCGAAAGCCUGACGGAGCAACGCCGCGUGAGUGAUGAAGGUCUUCGGAUCGUAAAACUCUGUUAUUAGGGAAGAACAAAUGUGUAAGUAACUAUGCACGUCUUGACGGUACCUAAUCAGAAAGCCACGGCUAACUACGUG
rnacentral:rRNA from 1 species